rnacentral:rRNA from 1 species
CAGCCGCCGCGGGAAAACGGAGGGAGCUAGCGUUGUUCGGAAUCACUGGGCGUAAAGCGCACGUAGGCGGCUAUUCAAGUCAGGGGUGAAAGCCCGGGGCUCAACCCCGGAACUGCCUUUGAAACUAGAUAGCUUGAAUCUUGGAGAGGCGUGUGGAAUUCCGAGUGUAGAGGUGAAAUUCGUAGAUAUUCGGAAGAACACCAGUGGUGAAGGCGACUCGCUGGACAAGUAUUGACGCUGAGGUGCGAAAGCGUGGGGAGCAAACAGGAUUAGAUACCCGCGUAGUCCCUGUCUCUUAUAC